rnacentral:rRNA from 1 species
CUCGACCGAAGCCCCGGUGAACGGCGGCCGUAACGAUAACGGUCCUAAGGUAGCGAAAUUCCUUGUCAGGUAAGUUCUGACGCGCACGAAUGGUAUAAUAAUCUGGGCGCUGUCUCGACAGUAGACUCGGUGAAAUCUUAUUACCUGUGAAGAUGCAGGUUACCCGCGACUAGACGGAAAGACCCCAUGGAGCUUUACUAUAGCUUAAUAUUGAAUAUUUGUAAGUCAUGCACAGGAUAGGUGGGAGGCAUAGAAGUAGGGACUUUGGUUUCUAUGGAGCCGUCGGUUGGAUACCACUCUUGGUUUAUGAAUAUUCUAACCUUGACCCUACACGGGGUUAGGGACAGUGUUAGGUGGGUAGUUUGACUGGGGCGGUCGCCUCCCAAAAAGUAACGGAGGCGCCCCAAGGUACCCUCAGCACGGUUGGAAAUCGUGCAUCGAGUGCAAAGGCAUAAGGGUGCUUGACUGCGAGACAGACAAGUCGAGCAGGGACGAAAGUCGGGCUUAGUGAUCCGGCGGUCCCGUAUGGAAGGGCCGUCGCUCAACGGAUAAAAGCUACCCUGGGGAUAACAGGCUGAUCGCGUCCAAGAGUUCACAUCGACGACGCGGUUUGGCACCUCGAUGUCGGCUCAUCGCAUCCUGGAGGGGUAGUCCCUUCCAAGGGUAUGGCUGUUCGCCAUUUAAAGCGGUACGCGAGCUGGGUUCAAAACGUCGUGAGACAGUUUGGUCCCUAUCUGUCGUGGGCGUAGGAAGUUUGACAGGAUCUGUCCUUAGUACGAGAGGACCGGGAUGGACAUAGCAAUGGUACACCAGUUGUUUCGCCAGAAGCAUAGCUGGGUAGCUACCUAUGGAAUAGAUAAACGCUGAAAGCAUCUAAGCGUGAAACUAGCCUGAAGAUGAGACUUCCCAUCGCAAGAGUAAGAACCCUCUAAAGUUAAGAGGUUGAUAGGACAUAGAUGUAAGUGCAGUGAUGCAUUGAGUCGAGUGUUACUAAUAGUUCGAGGACUUAAGAUA